rnacentral:sRNA from 1 species
GCAUAGCAAAAAGUACGGUCUAACGUUUAGCAAAUGAUAAUACGUAUGCUAGAGUGUAUAGUGUACAUUUGUUUUGGAUUUUCUUGUUGAAUUUCAAACAAAAUUAAGUGUAAUAAAUAAAUUAAAAAAGAAGAAAA